UACGUAGGUGGCAAGCGUUGUCCGGAUUUAUUGGGCGUAAAGGGCGCGCAGGCGGUUCGUUAGGUCCGAGGUGAAAUCUCCCGGCUCAACUGGGAGGGGUCUUCGGAUACCGGCGGGCUUGAGGUGAGCAGAGGUGAGCGGAAUUCUGGGUGUAGUGGUGAAAUGCGUAGAUAUCCAGAGGAACACCAGUGGCGAAGGCGACUACCUGGCCUGUUCUUGACGCUGAGGCGCGAAAGCUAGGGGAGCAAACGGG
rnacentral:rRNA from 1 species